AUCCAGCUGAUGAGUCCCAAAUAGAACGAAACGUGUGGCCUAGAU
rnacentral:hammerhead_ribozyme from 1 species